CUCUAAAGCCUAACUUGUCCAUCUGACUUACUGUCUGAAUCUUCCCAACUUAUGCAUGCCCACUUUUAUUGUUUAAAUUUGUUUCUUUUUUUUUUUUUUUUAAACACAGGGAGACUGCAUUGCUUAUUGAUCCAAAAAAUUCCUGUUCUUCAUCCCGCCAGUGGGUUGCUCUGGUUGUGGGACAUGAACUCGCCCAUCAAUGGUUUGGAAAUCUUGUUACUAUGGAAUGGUGGACUCAUCUUUGGUUAAAUGAAGGUUUUGCAUCCUGGAUUGAAUAUCUGUGUGUAGACCACUGCUUCCCAGAGUAUGAUAUUUGGACUCAGUUUGUUUCUGCUGAUUACACCCGUGCCCAGGAGCUUGACGCCUUAGAUAACAGCCAUCCUAUUGAAUAAUUCAUAUCUGCUUCCUGUCAUAACCCUGAAUCACACUGUCUGCCAGGUCAGUGUGGGCCAUCCAUCUGAGGUUGAUGAGAUAUUUGAUGCUAUAUCAUAUAGCAAAGGUGCAUCUGUCAUCCGAAUGCUGCAUGACUACAUUGGGGAUAAGGACUUUAAGAAAGGAAUGAACAUGUAUUUAACCAAGUUCCAACAAAAGAAUGCUGCCACAGGUAAUCUUUAAUAGCUUGAGAUAGAAAUGGAGAGAAAGUAUUGUCACUCUAUCCAGGCUGGGACAUUUUAUUUUUGUUCUGAAUAUUUAACUCAAGGUCAGGAUCCAUGUAAUAAAUAAAUUAGCCUUAUUUGAA
rnacentral:sRNA from 1 species